GUGCCAGCCGCCGCGGUAAAACGUAGGAGGCAAGCGUUAUCCGGAUUUACUGGGCGUAAAGCGCGGGUCGGUGGUGACUUAAGUCAUGCGUGAAAGCUCUCGGCUUAACCGGGAGAGGUCGUGUGAAACUGGGUCGCUGGAGGUUGGGAGAGGCAGACGGAAUUCCGGGUGGAGUGGUGAAAUGCGUAGAGAUCCGGAGGAACACCAGUGGCGAAGGCGGUCUGCUAGCCCACACCUGACACUCAGACGCGAAAGCAUGGGGAGCGAACGGGAUUAGAUACCCGGGUAGUCC
rnacentral:rRNA from 1 species